rnacentral:rRNA from 1 species
AGUGAACGCUGGCGGUAGGCCUAACACAUGCAAGUCGAACGGCAGCACAGUAAGAGCUUGCUCUUACGGGUGGCGAGUGGCGGACGGGUGAGGAAUACAUCGGAAUCUACUUUUUCGUGGGGGAUAACGUAGGGAAACUUACGCUAAUACCGCAUACGACCUACGGGUGAAAGCAGGGGAUCUUCGGACCUUGCGCGAUUGAAUGAGCCGAUGUCGGAUUAGCUAGUUGGCGGGGUAAAGGCCCACCAAGGCGACGAUCCGUAGCUGGUCUGAGAGGAUGAUAAGCCACACUGGAACGGAGACACGGUCAAGCCGCCUACGGGAGGCAGCAGUGGGGAAUAUUGGACAGUGGUCGCAAGCCUGAUCCAGCCAGACCGAGUGGGUGAAGAAGGCCUUCGGGUUGUAAAGCCCUUUUGUUGGGAAAGAAAAGCAGCAGGUUAAUACCCCGCUGUUCUGACGGUACCCAAAGAAUAAGCACCGGCUAACUUCGUG